AGUUUGUGCAGGGCCGGCGGCCGGGAGCGAGCGAAAGGAGAUGUGUGGGGGAGGGGCGGACGGGCUGUCUGAGUUUCGGGGAAUUUCUCUCGCCGUGGUUGUGCUGCAGACAGGAACUGGGUGAAACUGGAGCCGGAGCACGAUGCUGCUCUGGCCGCUGCUGAGCCACUGCGCUAAUGUCAGAACCGGCUGCGCUGGGCGAUGUGUAAGAUGCCAGCAGAUAUCCUACAAUAUGCCAUGAAAAAGAGAUCUAUUUUGCCCUUACCAAGCAAGAGUGCCUUUAGGCUAAAGGUCUGUAAACUGCUUUGCGAUGUUCUAAUUAAAGGAGCUAUAGAAUUGCAAACAUCACUUUGCUGUGAGCCAGAUUCUUCCAUCUUUCCUCAAAUAGUAUCUUUUCCCCAAAGAGACUACUUAACAACCGGUGCCUCAUUCAAUGUUCAGAAUGGACAGUGUUCUUAAAGUUUCUUUAACAAUUUUUGUGUGUGUAAUAUUUCAGUUACUUAUUAGUUUCCAAUAUAAAAGAUUUUUUUGAUCAUUUUUUCAGGAACUCAAUCACUUAUGUUGUUUACAGCAGGCCUUU